ACUCCUACGGGAGGCAGCAGUGGGGAAUAUUGGACAAUGGGCGCAAGCCUGAUCCAGCCAUGCCGCGUGUGUGAAGAAGGCCUUAUGGUUGUAAAGCACUUUAAGCGAGGAGGAGGCUACUUUAGUCAAUACCUAGAGAUAGUGGACGUUACUCGCAGAAUAAGCGCCGGCUAACUCUGUGCCAGCAGCCGCGGUAAU
rnacentral:rRNA from 1 species